AGAGGAGCUGACAACUAAAUGGGGACUGGAAGGAUGAGGAGCAGCUACCAACCAAGAAAAGUAUUCUAAGACAAAUGAAGUUCUACCAAGAAGCAAAUUCCACUACACUGUGUCUUCUAGGAGAUCAUGUGAGUAUCAGUGACCACGGUCCACAGAGGAGGAAGCUUAUCACCAAGGUGGCCACAGCCACUCUGCUAGUAAGUGGUGCCACUGGGGCUCACACACGUGUGUGACCCAAGCCUGGUGCUCUGCACCCUACACAACUCAGAAGCUUCCUCUUUCGAAGUGCAGCUUGGCUGCCAGUUGGCCUACAGCAAACAGCAUGAUGACAUCUGCAGAGACCCAACGUUCAGGAACUUUUUGCAAGACUUCAACAGAACCAGUAAGUUAUUCUGAGUCUCCUGGGAGAGGAUCAAAUUAGCAGUUGCUUCUCUACUCCUGCGUUCCUGAGCUCUUGCCCUGCAAAUAAAGAUCUACUCCCUCCUGCUGGCAGUGAGGCCAAAACACUGGGUUUGAAUGUCUGGGGUAUAGCCCUUCCAAAAGGCCUUUCCCAGAGGUGAAGGAGCAGGGCUGGCUACUGGGUCUCCACGCUUAGGGAUGGCCUAUCAUCUUGCCCUUCUGCUGCUAUACAUGGUACUGUCAGGAGGGACAGGGAUAAGACUCCAGACUGGGCUCCGAGCAUGACUCUGAAAUGCACACUGCCAAGCUGGCCUCCCAAGAGGAAUGGCUACCUCUGUGACACCCUCCAAAGCUAAAGAAUCAGGGGGCCACCAACUGAACAAUAGUGCAUGGAGCAUGGGGCUGUCAUCAUCACAGCUGCCACCUCACUGCCACCAACACCUCUCAACACUCAUGAGUCUGGGGAACAAGGCCAACUGUCUAUGGCCUUCAUGGGCAGCAGAAAACAUCAAGGCAGCAAAAAGACAGUUUCUACCUCACAUUUACUUUCUAGAUCUUACUAGUUCAUUGCUGGUAGAAUACAAUUCACACCUAAACCUACAGCUGCCAGAGAGGCUGAGAAUUGUGGCUUUCAAUGUUCUGGGUACUGUAAUUCAACAAGGAAUGAAAGAUGGAUGCCAAAUGUUCAAUCACUAUAUCUAUCAUAUAGCUAAAUAGCACAAAAUAUGGGAUACUGAUAAUAUUUCAAAGAUUUUCAGUUGGAUUUGACUUAAAUUUUAUGUAAUAAAGUUUUACAAAGAAACAUGUCCCUGAAAUUUAUAGGCAUAGUCAAUUUUGCUGAGAAUCUUCACCGUUGGAAAGAUGAAUUCUACCAGUGUCACUGUCGCAAAGCUCAGGGGAUUUCUCAUCCAUUAGGAUAGCUAAAAUGUAUGUAUGUUAUUUUAAAAAGAACUCAUUGCUUUUAAAUUACAGAAACAAUAGAAACAAUGUAAGUCGGAGAAACAGUCAAAAGUGUUCCUUACAAUCCUGUCACCACCAUUAUAAUCAUUUUAAUUUUUUCUUGUGUGAAUGAAAUAACAUUUUGUCUCCCCCCACUUAUUGUAUGAAUCAUUUCUUAUGUUAUUGAAGAAUGGGACCAUGCUUUUUAGUGGUUGCAUAAUAUUUUACUAAUACACGUCAUAAUUUAUCUAGCCAAUA